rnacentral:ncRNA from 1 species
GCUGUGGAGAGCAAAAACAAAUACAAGUAGAUAUUUUACCAAAAGUAUGUUCGUUGAAUCAGCAA